GACGAACGCUGGCGGCGUGCUUAACACAUGCAAGUCGAACGGUGAAGGCGGAGCUUGCUCUGCUGGAUCAGUGGCGAACGGGUGAGUAAACGUUAGCUAUCUGCCCCUGACCCUGGGGUAAGCGCCAGAAACGGCGUCUAAUACUGGAUACGAGCUGCGAGCGCCUCUUUAGCAGCUGGAAAGAAUGUCGGUUUGGGAUGAGAUCGCGGCCUAUCAGCUUGUUGGUGAGGUUAUGGCUCAACAAGGCGUCGACGGGUAGCCGGCCUGAGAGGGUGACCGGCCACACUGGGACUGAGACACGGCCCAGACUCCUACGGGAGGCAGCAGUGGGGAAUAUUGCACAAUGGGCGGAAGCCUGAUGCAGCAACGCCGCGUGGGGGACGACGGCCUUCGGGUUGUAAACCUCUUUUGGCUGGGAAGAAGCGAAAGUGACGGUACCGGGAGAAAAAGCGCCGGCUAACUACGUG
rnacentral:rRNA from 1 species